rnacentral:rRNA from 1 species
UGACGGCCUUCGGGUUGUAAACCCCUUUCAGUAGGGAAGAAGCGAGAGUGACGGUACCUGCAGAAGAAGCGCCGGCUAACUACGUGCCAGCAGCCGCGGUAAUACGUAGGGCGCAAGCGUUGUCCGGAAUUAUUGGGCGUAAAGAGCUUGUAGGUGGCUUGUCGCGUCUGCCGUGAAAACCCGAGGCUCAACCUCGGGCGUGCGGUGGGUACGGGCAGGCUAGAGUGUGGUAGGGGAGACUGGAACUCCUGGUGUAGCGGUGAAAUGCGCAGAUAUCAGGAAGAACACCGAUGGCGAAGGCAGGUCUCUGGGCCAUUACUGACACUGAGAAGCGAAAGCAUGGGUAGCGAACAGGAUUAGAUACCCUGGUAGUCCAUGCCGUAAACGUUGGGCACUAGGUGUGGGGGACAUUCCACGUUUUCCGCGCCGUAGCUAACGCAUUAAGUGCCCCGCCUGGGGAGUACGGCCGCAAGGCUAAAACUCAAAUGAAUUUGACGG